rnacentral:tRNA from 1 species
AGAAAUAUUUAUAAAAUGAACUUCUAACUCAUUGAAUAGUGAUUAAUAAUCAUUAAUAUUUCUA